AGUAAAUAAGUUGUUACAUCUAACAUUUCCAAGCAUGAAUGCUUGAUUCAAAAUAUUUUGUUGUGCAACUUAAUCCAGUGAUCGUCAUGAAUUUUAGGUUGACAAUUAGGCUAUUUGUGUUAUUUUACUGUCAAAAUAGGGUCUGAUUUGUUUGUUUAAUAGACAUGAAUUUGUCUUCAUCUUUAUGUGCAUUAAUAUUAUAUAGGCCUAAUUUAGUUGGUGCUCAUUCACCACCUGAGGAAGUGGAAACUCAGAACACUUUCGCUCGAUCACUAACUAUAACACCUACUGCUAGUAGCCAGGUAUUAAUCUAAUAGUAAAUGUAAUGUCCAAAAUAAACUUUGCAAUGAAGCCUAGUGCACGUGCAAUGGCCGAUGCGCAAUUUUUGCACGCUCCUUAUUUUAAAGCCAUAUCAGUGAUGGUAGACCGAAACAGACAAAUAAAUGGGACAUAGAUUGAUAGAUGGUAACAGACAGAUGGCAUGCUACAGAGGAACACUGAGAAUGAAUCAACCUGAGAGGACUAGACUUUACUGCGUACACUGCCUGCUUCUAAAAUGUUCUUAUUUUUCAUACGGAUGGAGCAAUGACUGGGGCGAUGGAGCAGCUGUGCUAGCUAGCCAUAGACCUGUGCCCCAGGUGCAGUAGUGUGACAUCUUGUUUAUGCUGUUUCAUAGUAGGACUGGAUUAGCUCUGGGUCUGACGGGUGGAGGUCAAAGCAAAGCCCUUAUUGCCCAUGCCACUCCUCAGAAGAGCGCAGUACCAUUGGUUCAAUUGCAGUACAGGACAAGUAUGUGUUGCUUGUCCUCUCUGCAGUGGAAGUAUGGAUGGAAUGUAACCUGAGCAUCUGCAGUGUGUCUGGUUAUUGUACUGUCACCACUGUUCACCCUCCCCCUGCUCUCACUAACCUCACUCUUAUGUGAGAAGGAGUUAAACAGGGCUGCAGGAAUCAGUGUAUAAUGAGGUGGGUCCCCCCCACAUGAGAUGCAUGUUUUGGUUCUACCUCCAAAGAAUAACAAAGGCUACUUAUUCACAAAUUGGGUGUGAUAAUUUCUAUGUGGAGUUGAUAAACAUCAACAAAUAGGGCACUAACAGCUGUCAGGCUGGCAAGCUAGCAUGCUAUAUUACUAACCUUAUCUAGCUAGGGUUAGCAUGCUGCCUUGCUAACCUUAUCUAGCUAGCUAAUGUUAUCGGUUGCUUUUUAUAUAUUUUUUUGUACACCGUCUUCAAAAGAUUAGCCAGCUCGCUCUAUAGCCUUGUUCACACUGCAGGCCUAAAUGCUCAAAUCAGUUUUGUUUUUCAAAUCUGUUUUGGAGUACUGACUGUCCAAACAGCAAGUUACAAGUUACCAAAUUGUAUUUGUGUGUUCAGACGGCAGUCAUUUGCUGACAUGGCUACACUAGUUGUUAUAUUACCUGCGGGUGUGUGUGCUGUGGCGUAAGCUGCUUAGUGGUACUCAUGCUUCCUAUCACUUAGAAGUUAUUUAGCAAGCUAAGGUAACAACAAUGCCUGCCAUGGACAUUUCUCAUUUGCUUUGAAUGUUCAAAGUCAUAGUGUAAGUACACUCUUUAAAGCCUCAAAGGAUAAGAUGAUCCAACUUUCAAAAUGACUUCUUUUUGGCUAACCACAGCAGUCACUUAGCUAGCUAGGUAGCUGUUUAACCUUCUUGCGCAUUCACACAUUUGUUUUGUAAACAAUAAACAAGCUAGUUAGCUAACACAUGUUCUUGUCAAACUGUUAAGAGUAACGUUAUCUCGCACCUACGAAGGUGGUUUGAAAUGUGGAGCGAAAUAUCUGAUACUUUGUGCUUUUUUUUGCUGUUCAGACUGCAGGAAAAAGAACGGAAUCGGAUAUGCAAAAAAAUUGGAUUUGAGUUACUUCAAACUGCCAAUGUGAACAAGGCUUAUGGCUGGUUUUUGAGCUGGAUAGUCAUAAGCAUUGAUUUAGGGAGAACUUCACCACAGAUGGGAACCACUGGCCUGUCUUUGACUUCGCCAUCUAUUGUUAUCUUAAGUUUUGGCAUCUUUCAUAAAUUGUAGGGAUGCACGAUAUAUCGGUAAGCAUAUCGGAAUCGGCCGAUAUUAGCUAAAAAUGUCAUCAUCGGCCGAUGUGCAAAACCGAUGUGAAAGCUGAUGUGCAUACCUAUAUAACGUAGGUAGAUAACGUAAUGACGCCACGGAGAAUACAGGGCUACACGUGCAAAACAGCAUUCCUAACCUCGCCCACAAUGUCUGCUGUGUGGAUUUAUUUUGAAGUUUCAAAGGAAGAUAACAAAAAGGCCAUAUGCAACGUUUGUGCUGCUAUUAUUUCCAGAGGGGAGAAAGUGAAAUCUUUCAAUAUCACAAACCUAAUUACUCAUUUGAAAGUGCAUCACCCCCAGACGUUCAGCGACUACUUAGAACUAAAGCAGAAAAAAACGAAACCAGUUCAAGUCAAACAGUCAUUUGAAAGAGAGAAUUUCAGUGAGACAACUCAAAGGUGAAAACUAUUAACGCCAAGAUAAUGGAAUUCAUGGCCCUUGACAAUCAACCGUUCUCUGUUGUGGAUGAUGUUGGCUUUUGCUGACUGGUUGAGCACCUCGAGUCCCGGUACACACUACCAAGGAGGCUCUAUUUUUUAGAUGUUGCCCUACCGUAGUUACACAGUAUUGUUGAAACGCACAUCCAUGAGCUACUUGCUAUUGGCGUCACUGCUAUUAGCUUUACGACUGACAUUUGGACCAGCGAUGUCAGCCCCAUGAGCACAGUUCGAAAUGAACACCCGCCAAGUGCCAAAUGCAGGUAGAUUUUCCAUUUGGUGAGAAUCUCAGAAGGCAAACCGCCACACUGGAGGGUGAAUGUUUGUACCAAAAUAGCCAUGUAAUAAAAUAUCUGGCAUGAUGGCUCGGAGGAAAUUAUGUUUGCCAGCUUACCACAGACUGUCUCUAGUGCACGGCACUGUUUACCGUACGGGACAUCGGCUACUCGACAUCGCUCACUUAUUACGGGUCUGCUGCUAGCUACCGUUCAUUAAAUAGCUGUUAUGUGGCAACAUUUACCUGGAGUAAACCAACCUUUAAAACGAAAACCCACCGAAGAAAAGGAUGACGAAUCACAAAGAGUUUUAUGAGAAAUGGAGGUUUGGAGAUGGAGUUUCAAGAGGCUGGCUACAGUAUGAUGCAGAGGCUGUGGUGAUGAGUUGUCCUGUAUGUUGCCAGUAUGCUAAAGAUAAAAGCAGAGACAACUAAUUUGUCAUCAGAAUUAAAAUUAUGAAGCUGGAGAACAUUUGUGACCAUGCACACAGCAAGUGUCACAUUGCCUGCGUGUCUAUGUCCCGGCCUCAAUCGGAGCCUCUCCUUUUGACACCCUCUGUGAUGGCGCUAAUGGCAAUGUCAGAGCAGACCAGCACGAAGAUGAAGAUACUGUUUAGGAUUGUACAUGCCAUUGGCAAGAAGGUGAGACCACUUUCUGACUUGGAGUGGAUGUGUGAGUAAGUGAAAAUGUUGUUACUCUUGUAGCUAGACUAGUACUUUUUGUAGCGAGUUUAAGUCUAUUUAGCAGACGUGGUCCAGUAUUGUAGGUUAUUUCUCAGCCGUUGAUAAGCUUUGGUUCACCUCAAAAUAGUGUAUAAAUUCCAGAAAAUGAUAAGCCUACUAAUGCUGACAUGGAUCUCCAUGCUUUCCUAUGGCUCUGUAACAUAAUAUUUUAAUGUUUGUCUCCAGAUGCUGGUUACAUUUUAAAGCAUUGUGGCACAAUUUACUUUACUAGCCUUAUCGUGUUGAUUCUUAACGAAACAAAGGGUAGAAGGCUAAUUUUGCACAAUCAACUGCUGGAUAACAUGAUUGUAUAUUUAAUUAUUAUUGAAUUAAUUGAUGUUUCAUUUUUGCAGUUUAGAUGGGGAAAAAAAGGAAUCGCUGUGGGCUCAACAUAUAGAAAUGAGAAGCAGGCCAAAGAGUUUACCUAUUGCGUGCACUGGACCACUUCCUGCGAGGUUACCAGUGGCUUGUCCAGCACCUGGAACAGAUUCAAUCUGCUGAUGCCCAAAAUGCCAGAGGUGUCCAGCAGGCCAAGGCCAGGAAAUACUACAGUACUGCAAGGGAGGCUGUUGUUAUCCGCUUCUGUGGCUUCCUGCAUGACACUUUAACACACCUGAGCAACCUGUCUGACUGUCUGCAGAGGUCCACCAUCACCAUAGCAGAAGCCCACAGCUCCUUGUGCUCAACACAGGCAGUACUUAAGGAGUACAAAACCAGAGAAGGGCCCAUGAUGAAGGCCACAGAUAUGAGGGAAUUUUGCUGACCAGAGGUGACAGCAAGACCCUCGUCACAUCACAAGACAUAAUGCUUGACAGGCUAGUCGAGAGUAUGACUGACAGGUUCCAGGAUGCCUGUGUGAGGGUCCUGUGUGCCACCAAGCUGGUCAGCUUCACCAACUGGCCAGUGUCAGGAGAUGCAGCAGCAGGUUACUUUAUGUUUUUUAUUACAGAUUUUGGAGACAUUGAACUGGAAACCCUGGUGGACCACUUCCUGUCCUGGAGACCUCUGGCAUCCAUGUUGAAAGGAUCCCUGACCAGUGAACUGUCCUGGAGACCUCUGGCAUCCAUGUUGAAAGGAUCCCUGACCAGUGAACUGUCCUGGAGACCUCUGGCAUCCAUGUUGAAAGGAUCCCUGACCAGGUGAACUGUCCUGGAGACCUCUGGCAUCCAUGUUGAAAGGAUCCCUGACCAGGUGAACUGUCCUGGAGACCUCUGGCAUCCAUGUUGAAAGGAUCCCUGACCAGGUGAACUGUCCUGGAGACCUCUGGCAUCCAUGUUGAAAGGAUCCCUGACCAGUGAACUGUCCUGGAGACCUCUGGCAUCCAUGUUGAAAGGAUCCCUGACCAGUGAACUGUCCUGAAGGUGCUGAUGUACCAAGAGUCCCAGUCCCUGCAGAAGAUGUCCUGGUUCCUUGUCAACAGGAGCCAUCAGCAUUCCUGUCCUAGUUUUCUGGCAUUUGUUGACCUGGUCCUGUCCUUCCUGCCUCCAUAGCUGAAUGUGAAAGAGGUUUUAAUACCAUGAAACAGGUGAAAACCGAUUGGCGGUCCAACCUAAAGUCUGACACACUGUCAGAUCUCCUUAUGGUCCAGCUGUCCUCUCCAGAGAUCAGGGAGUAUGAUCCUUUAAAAGUAUUGAUGCUGUGACACCAGGACUCUGUCAGGAGCAGGAGGCCAGACUUCAUGGACCAUGCAAAGAAAGGGUGAGGAGUUCUGAGGUUUAAGUUGAUUAAAAUGAUUAAGCAUCUGAUAGGUUUACAAAACCUUCAAAUGUACUUUUAUGUUUGAUCCUUAAGUACAUUUAAUAGCAAAUACUUCAGUAGAAUUUUGAGUUCAAGACUUCUUCUGUUGUAUUCAGGCUGGGAAAUUAAAUCUAGCCACAGCCAAAAUGAACCAGCAUCUGAUAAGCCUCUUUUUUUAACCUGUAUUUAAUCAGGGUAUUUCUAAUCAAAGUAAAGGAUUUGUAGACCUGCUUCCCCUGUUUCCCCUUUGUAUCAGGAGAGCACCAGUUCUAUGUCCACUGUACUUCUUAUAAUUGUAUUUUACCAUUGCUGUUGCCCUGUUUUCACUUCUAUGUACUCUUAUUCAUUGUAUCUUUUAUAUUUUGUUUAUUUCAUUGUGUGCCCAAUGUUUGGUGUUUUUGCACUCUGUACAGCACUUUUGGUUAACUACAGUUGUUUUUAAAUGUGCUCUACAAAUAAACUUGAUUUGAUUAACUCUUGAUCAAUAUGUAAAAAAUUUGUUUCAAAUCUUGCUCUUGCUUAUUUAAGUUUGUAUUCACAUGUACUGAAAUGAAUGUAUUUGUGACACGAAAAGGCAAUUUAUUAUUUUGGAUGGUAAAGAAUAUGUUUGGCUGGUGGAUUUUUUUCAUCUACCACUCCACUUGGCAGGUGAGACAACAAAGUACAUUUCAAACACUGCCCAUGAGCAUGCUGACAGCACAGUGGGUCUGUCAGCACAGUGGGUCGACAAGGAUUUUCUACAACAAAACUGCCGACACAGACCGUGGGGUUAACUUGCAUAAGUACUCUACUAGAGUCUGUGAACAAGCGAUUCGGUGGCAUUCUCCCUGAGCCUCUUCUGUGUUGCCACCAUGCUUGAUGCUAGGUACAAGGACCGCGACUUCGAUGCAGACAAGAAACAUGGUUUACGUGAAAUGUUAGACACAGCUGGACAAGAUGGAAAUGGACACAGUGACCGUGCGCACAGAGGAAGAGGACCCACGAUAAGAUGAGGCCACGGACAGACAGAGCUGAAACCUCACUCCUUGACAUGUAUGAUGAAAUCCUGGUUGAUAAUUAAACGAAUGAACAAUUUAACGAAACAUUACAGCUGUAAGUGAAAUGUUUUACUGGUAAUGGGGACAUAUGUAAAUGCCAACAAAAUAACUUUUUGGUCAGUGUGUGUAUGUCAACUAUUUAACUGUAGUAGAAUGCUUAAAAGGAAGCAAAAUAUU